AACUUUCCCAAAACUGGUGAAUAGCCUUCCGAAAGGAAGAUUAAUACACCGUAAGAUAUAGGAGUGGCAUCACUUUUAUAUUAUAGCUCCGGCGGUUUUGGAUGGGCGUGCGGCUGAUUAGGUAGUUGGCGGGGUAACGGCCCACCAAGCCAACGAUCAGUAACUGGUGUGAGAGCACGAUCAGUCACACGGGCACUGAGACACGGGCCCGACUCCUACGGGAGGCAGCAGUAAGGAAUAUUGGUCAAUGGACGCAAGUCUGAACCAGCCAUGCCGCGUGAAGGAUGACGGCCCUCUGGGUUGUAAACUUCUUUUAUAGGGGACGAAAAAAGGGCUUUCUAGCUCGUCUGACGGUACCCUAGGAAUAAGCACCGGCUAACUCCGUGCCAGCAGCCGCGGUAAUACGGAGGGUGCAAGCGUUAUCCGGAUUUACUGGGUUUAAAGGGUGCGUAGGUGGGUCUGGUAAGUCAGUGGUGAAAUCUUCGAGCUUAACUCGGAAACUGCCAUUGAUACUACCGAUCUUGAAUCAUCUAGAGGUAAGCGGAAUAUGUCAUGUAGCGGUGAAAUGCUUAGAUAUGACAUAGAACACCAAUUGCGAAGGCAGCUUACUAUGGAUGUAUUGACACUGAGGCACGAAAGCGUGGGGAUCAAACAGGAUUA
rnacentral:rRNA from 1 species